GAGAUAGGGUCCCCAGGGGCCCGACCUCCAACCCCAUGUCUAAUAUACCUUUGUUGCCUCGGUGGGACGUCGAAAGGCCCUUCAUCGGGCCCCAGCCGUCGGCCUCUUCUGGCCCUCGAGUGCCCACCGAUGGACCCCUUUAAACCAUCUUUGAAACGAGACCUCUGAGUGGAAUUUAAUACUUCAAAACUUUCAACAACGGAUCUCUUGGUUCU
rnacentral:misc_RNA from 1 species